AUGAGUUGCAAAGUAUUACUUAAUUCAAUUUACUGCAAGUUUACCCGUCAACUGCCUCUAAGCUGCGAUGUCUUGUCAAAAAAUCGGGUAUUUCCGAGUGUUUUGAGUGUUAAUUUCAGCACCAAAAAACAAACUAAAGUUAUUGAGAAGAAACAUUGUAAUAUAGGAACUAUAGGGCACGUAGAUCAUGGGAAGACGACACUGACUGCAGCUAUAACGAAGGUUUUAGCGUCAGACGGAUUAGCGCAAUUUGUUUCUUACGACGAAAUCGAUAAGGCCCCUGAAGAAAAAGCUAGAGGAAUAACAAUAAAUGCAGCACACAUAGGGUAUAGUACACAAGUCCGACACUACGCACAUACAGACUGCCCUGGUCAUGCAGACUACAUCCGUAAUAUGAUAUCAGGUGCAUCGCAAAUGGACGCAGCGAUUUUAGUAGUAGCUGCUAACGAUGGUCCCAUGCCUCAGACGAGAGAGCAUUUGCUUCUCGCGAAGCAAGUUGGCAUACGUUACAUAUUGGUAUUCAUUAACAAGGCUGAUUUGGUUGAUGACGAGUUACUAGAGUUGGUAGAGAUAGAAAUGCGAGAGCUGUUGACCGACUUUGGCUACGAUGGUACAACUGUGCCCAUGAUAUGCGGCUCGGCAUUGAAAGCGUUGAAUGGAGAUGAGUCGGAACUUGGUGCACCUUCAAUUCGGAAACUAUUGGACACCAUAGACAAUUAUGUCCCUGCCAUAGUGAGAGAUCUAGAAUCUCCGUUCUUAAUGCCCAUAGACAAUGCAUUCACUGUACCAGGAAGGGGCACCGUGGUUGUAGGAACAAUUAAACAUGGAAUUAUGAGAAGAAACAAUGAAGCCGACUUGAUGGGCUUUGGAUAUAAUAUUAAGACAACACUGUCAGAUAUACAGAUUUUUAAGAAAAGUGUUACUGAGGCUCUAGCCGGCGACAAUGUCGGCGUCCUACUCCGAGGUUUGAAAUUGAAAUCGGUAGAAACUGGAAUGCUGCUGUGUGCAUCGAAACAGUACCAGCUGAGCAACCAUUAUAAAGCCAAAAUAUAUUUCUUGACGAGAAACGAAGGUGGUAGAAAGAAACCUGUGUUUUCAAAGUAUACGCAACAGAUGUUUAGUGGCACUUGGAAUAUUGCUUGCAGGGUUGAUUUAGACCCAUCUAUACACAUGAUGAUGCCAGGCGAUCACGGUGAAGUGUACUUAACGCUUCUAGAAGGCAUGGUGAUGACGCAAGGACAGCCAUUCACGAUCAGAGAGAACAAUGUUACUGUUGCCACGGGAAUUAUAACAGAGACCUUACAAACUAUAGAUGUGCCCAAAGGAAAGCUUGGUAAAGUUAUUAUGAAGUUUGAAGAAGUUUAAAAUAAGGAAAGAAAACGCAUACGUCCGGACGUGUGGCGCUGGUACGUUUCAUAAAGUGACAUCUCCAGUCAGCGGCGACGACUGUAAAGGCAUCGCGUCCCUUAGUCGAUUUUUUGCAAUUUGACUAAUCAGGUAAAAAGUCAUAAUUUGACGGAAAUCGAUAUCUUUACACUACACAGUGACUAGAUCUAUUUUUUGCGACUAGGACAUUAAUAAAACAUUGUAUGCUAGUUACAAAUGUUUUUGUGGGCCAUUAAAGGUCUUUCAGUUCGUAAUUGCCUACUUACCGCUCUUGUAACAUAAUGUAUACAUACUAGAUAUGAGCGCCGAUAAAUAGACCAACCGGCGGCGCGAGCGCGACCAUAAAACGAAUUUGUAUAACGGUGUUUGUUACAAAUACUUUUUGAAAGGAAAAAAAUAAAAUAACGUAUUUU